rnacentral:piRNA from 1 species
UGUUUACUAGAAAAGACUUAUGCCUUCCCCUC